rnacentral:rRNA from 1 species
AUUGAACGCUGGCGGCAGGCCUAACACAUGCAAGUCGAGCGAGCGGCGGACGGGUGAGUAAUGUCUGGGAAACUGCCUGAUGGAGGGGGAUAACUACUGGAAACGGUAGCUAAUACCGCAUACCAUCAGAUGUGCCCAGAUGGGAUUAGCUGGUAGGGGGGGUAAAGACUCACCUAGGCGACGAUCCCGAGCUGGUCUGAGAGGAGGACCAGCCACACUGGAACUGAGACACGGCCCAGACUCCUACGGGAGGCAGCAGUGGGGAAUCUUCCGCAAUGGACGAAAGUCUGACGGAGCAACGCCGCGUGAGUGAUGACGGCCUUCGGGUUGUAAAGCUCUGUUAAUCGGGACGCGGUACCGGAAUAGAAAGCCACGGCUAACUACGUGCCAGCAGCCGCGGUAAUAC